rnacentral:lncRNA from 1 species
CGAAACUCGAAAUCAUGGCUUUUAUUUAUAUCCCUUAACAGGAAUUUAAUCCAAUUCAAGAAAAGUUCAAUUUCUCUUUUUCUAUUUCGGGAUUCCACUGAUUUAUUCCUGGGUGGUGGUUGAACCCACACCCCUCUUUAACACAACUCCUUCUUUGAUAUGUAUCUGAUUCAUCAGAUUAUUGAAUUGAUUCCAUUAUG